GCUUCCAGAGGGAAAGUUGUGACUGACAGCUUUGGUCAGACAAGCAGACAUGACGUGCAAGAGGUCAAUUCAUUCUGUGUUUGUCAGAGAGGAAGAGAUUUAUUUGCUGUUACUUUUACUACUUGUUUGUAGCCGUGGCGUCUUGCUUGUUUUCCUAACCCAUUGCUGUUAAAAAUUGAAAGUGGUUCAAGUCUCAGGUGAAGUAACUCCCUCCGCUGACCCAGACCUAUGUACUCGCCCUGCCCUGCCUUCACCAAGUUGGUUGGUUUCCUCGUGCUGCCAUCUACAGAGCAAGCAACAGGUACACAAGGAUGUAGCCGUCCCUGUUUGCAGACCAAGAAGUGGACAAGAACUGCCUCAAGCCAAUCGGGCUGAUGGGAACCCAUUUACUUCUUGCGUUUUAGACAUUUCAAAAAACAUAUUUUAACAAAUCCUGAUGGUAUUUAAACUCUGUCUGGAACCUCAUGGCGCUGGCUGGACCUUCUCUU